rnacentral:tRNA from 1 species
GGUUGUGGCUCAGUGGUAAAGCGCUCUCCUAGCAUUUGUAGGGCCCUGGGUUCACUCCCCAGCACCA